GGAUGUGAGGGAUAUCCGGCUGUGAAAUCUGUCCCCCCGUUGAUCACCAGUGUUGAUUUGGCUGAUCUGGUUGGCUAGGUGGGUGUCCCCUUCCUCCCUCACCACUCGACGUAUGUUCCUCCCGAAGCUGUGAGCUUAGUCAAAGAGAACAACCUUCCCCAAAUAGAGGAGGACCAGUUUUCGGUCGAGGGUAUACAAGUAGCUGUGCUCCCCUGUUAGAACCUCCAAACAAGCUUUCAUAAUUUAGGAAGCUAUAGUAAGGAUGUAUCUGGGUCAUUUAGGAAAUAGCUCAUCUUUCUUGUGAU
rnacentral:snRNA from 1 species